UGGGGAAUAUUGCGCAAUGGGGGGAACCCUGACGCAGCCAUGCCGCGUGAAUGAAGAAGGCCUUAGGGUUGUAAAGUUCUUUCGGUAUUGAGGAAGGUUGAUGUGUUAAUAGCACAUCAAAUUGACGUUAAAUACAGAAGAAGCACCGGCUAACUCCGUGCCAGCAGCCGCGGUAAUACGGAGGGUGCGAGCGUUAAUCGGAAUAACUGGGCGUAAAGGGCACGCAGGCGGUUAUUUAAGUGGGGUGUGAAAGCCCUGGGCUUAACCUAGGAAUUGCAUUUCAGACUGGGUAACUAGAGUACUUUAGGGAGGGGUAGAAUUCCACGUGUAGCGGUGAAAUGCGUAGAGAUGUGGAGGAAUACCGAAGGCGAAGGCAGCCCCUUGGGAAUGUACUGACGCUCAUGUGCGAAAGCGUGGGGAGCAAACAGGAUUAGAUACCCUGGUAGUCCACGCUGUAAACGCUGUCGAUUUGGGGGUUGGGGUUUAACUCUGGCGCCCGUAGCUAACGUGAUAAAUCGACCGCCUGGGGAGUACGGCCGCAAGGUUA
rnacentral:rRNA from 1 species